GACGAACGCUGGCGGCGUGCCUAAUACAUGCAAGUCGAGCGGAGUUCCCACUUUGAAAGCUUGCUUUCAAAGUAACUUAGCGGCGGACGGGUGAGUAACACGUAGGCAACCUGCCCUUCAGACUGGGAUAACUACCGGAACGAACGGUAGCUAAUACCGGAUAAUUUCUUUUUUCUCCUGAGAGAAGAAUGAAAGACGGAGCAAUCUGUCACUGAGGGAUGGGCCUGCGGCGCACUUUUAGCUAGUUGGUGGGGUAACGGCCCACCAAGGCGACGAUGCGUAGCCGACCUGAGAGGGUGAACGGCCACACUGGGACUGAGACACGGCCGUUCAGACUCCUACGGGAGGCAGCAGUAGGGAAUCUUCCGCAAUGGGCGAAAGCCUGACGGAGCAACGCCGCGUGAGUGAUGAAGGUUUUCGGAUCUUCGUAAAGCUCUGUUGCCAGGGAAGAACGUCCGGUAGAGUAACUGCUACCGGAGUGACGGUACCUGAGAAGAAAGCCCCGGCUAACUACGUAGAGCCAGCAGCCGCGGUAAUACGUAGGGGGCAAGCGUUGUCCGGAAUUAUUGGGCGUAAAGCGCGCGCAGGCGGCUAUUUAAGUCUGGUGUUUUGCAAACCUUGGGCUCAACCUGAGGUCGCACUGGAAACUGGGUGGCUUGAGUACAGAAGAGGAAAGUGGAAUUCCACGUGUAGCGGUGAAAUGCGCGGUAGAUAUGUGGAGGAACACCAGUGGCGAAGGCGACUUUCUGGGCUGUAACUGACGCUGAGGCGCGAAAGCGUGGGGAGCAAACAGGAUUAGUGGAUACCCUGGUAGUCCACGCCGUAAACGAUGAGUGCUAGGUGUUAGGGGUUUCGAUACCCUUGGUGCCGAAGUUAACACAGUAAGCACUCCUCAGCCUGGGGAGUACGGUCGCAAGACUGAAACUCAAAGGAAUUGACGGGGACCCGCACAAGCAGUGGAGUAUGUGGUUUAAUUCGAAGCAACGGUACGAAGAACCUUACCAGGUCUUGACAUCCCUCUGAAUCUGCUAGAGAUAGCAGCGGCCUUCGGGACAGAGGAGACAGGUGGUGCAUGGUUGUCUGCGUCAGCUCGUGUCGUGAGAUGUUGGGUUAAGUCCCGCAACGAGCGCAACCCUUAACUUUAGUUGCCAGCAGGUAAGGCUGGGCACUCUAGCUGAGUGACUGCCGGUGACAAACCGGAGGAAGGUGGGGAUGACGUCAAAUCAUCAUGCCCCUUAUGACCUGGGCUACACACGUACUACAAUGGCUUACGGUACAACGGGAAGCGAAGCCGCGAGGUGGAGCCAAUCCCAUCAAAGCCGGUCUCAGUUCGGAUUGCAGGCUGCAACUCGCCUGCAUGAAUAUGUCGGAAUUGCUAGUAAUCGCGGAUCAGCAUGCCGCGGUGAAUACGUUCCCGGGUCUUGUACACACCGCCCGUCACACCACGAGAGUUUACUGAAACACCCGAAGUCGGUGGGGUAACCCGCAAGGGAGCCAGCCGCCGAAGGUGGGGUAGAUGAUUGGGGUG
rnacentral:rRNA from 1 species